rnacentral:rRNA from 1 species
GAUGAACGCUGGCGGCGUGCCUAAUACAUGCCAGUCGAGCGAACAGACGAGGAGCUUGCUCCUCUGACGUUAGCGGCGGACGGGUGUGUAACACGUGGAUAACCUACCUAUAAGACUGGGAUAACUUCGGGAAACCGGAUCUAAUACCGGAUAACAUGUUGAACCGCAGGGUUCAACAGUGAAAGACGGUUUUGCUGUCACUUAUCGAUGGAUCCGCGUCGCAUUAGCUAGUUGGUAAGUUAACGGCUUACCAAGGGAAGGAUGCGUAGCCGACCUGAGAGGGUGAUCGGCGACACUGGAACUGAGACACGGUCCAGACUCCUACGGGAGGCAGCAGUAGGGAAUCUUCCGCAAUGGGCGAAAGCCUGACGGAGCAAGGCCGCGUGAGUGACGAAGGUCUUCGGUUCGUAAAGACCUGUUAUUGGGGAAGAACAACUGUGUAAGUAACUAUGCACGUCUUGACGGUAACUAAUCAGAAAGCCCCGGCUAACUACGUG